GGGUGCUUGGCGCAAUGGUAGCGCGCGGUCCUCCUACAGCGGAAACGCCGUAAGACUGAGGUUGAGGGUUCGAGUCCCUUGGUGCUCG
rnacentral:tRNA from 1 species